UACGAAGGGGGCUAGCGUUGCUCGGAAUGACGGGGCGUAAAGGGCGCGUAGGCGGUUUGUACAGUCAGAUGUGAAAUUCCUGGGCUUAACCUGGGGGCUGCAUUUGAUACGUGCAGACUUGAGUGAGGAAGAGGGUUGUGGAAUUCCCAGUGUAGAGGUGAAAUUCGUAGAUAUUGGGAAGAACACCGGUGGCGAAGGCGGCAACCUGGUCCUUGACUGACGCUGAGGCGCGAAAGCGUGGGGAGCAAACAGG
rnacentral:rRNA from 1 species